rnacentral:misc_RNA from 1 species
GAUGAAGAACGUAGCGAAAUGCGAUAAGUAAUGUGAAUUGCAGAAUUCAGUGAAUCAUCGAAUCUUUGAACGCACAUUGCGCCCGCCAGUAUUCUGGCGGGCAUGCCUGUUCGAGCGUCAUUGCUGCCCUCAAGCACGGCUUGUGUGUUGGGCCUCCGUCCUCCUCCCGGGGGACGGGCCCGAAAGGCAGCGGCGGCACCGCGUCCGGUCCUCGAGCGUAUGGGGCUUCGUCACCCGCUCUUGUAGGCCCGGCCGGCGCUUGCCGACACAUCAAUCUUUUUUCCAGGUUGACCUCGGAUCAGGUAGGGAUACCCGCUGAACUUAAGCAUAUCAAUAAGCGGAGGA